rnacentral:rRNA from 1 species
CGAACGGGUGAGUAACACGUGGGUGAUCUGCCCUGCACUUUGGGAUAAGCCUGGGAAACUGGGUCUAAUACCGAAUAUGACCAUGCGCCUCCUGGUGUGUGGUGGAAAGCUUUNNNNNUGUGGGAUGGGCCCGCGGCCUAUCAGCUUGUUGGUGGGGUAAUGGCCUACCAAGGCGACGACGGGUAGCCGGCCUGAGAGGGUGACCGGCCACACUGGGACUGAGAUACGGCCCAGACUCCUACGGGAGGCAGCAGUGGGGAAUAUUGCACAAUGGGCGCAAGCCUGAUGCAGCGACGCCGCGUGAGGGAUGACGGCCUUCGGGUUGUAAACCUCUUUCAGCACAGACGAAGCGCAAGUGACGGUAUGUGCAGAAGAAGGACCGGCCAACUACGUGCCAGCAGCCGCGGUAAUACGUAGGGUCCGAGCGUUGUCCGGAAUUACUGGGCGUAAAGAGCUCGUAGGUGGUUUGUCGCGUUGUUCGUGAAAACUCACAGCUUAACUGUGGGCGUGCGGGCGAUACGGGCAGACUUGAGUACUGCAGGGGAGACUGGAAUUCCUGGUGUAGCGGUGGAAUGCGCAGAUAUCAGGAGGAACACCGGUGGCGAAGGCGGGUCUCUGGGCAGUAACUGACGCUGAGGAGCGAAAGCGUGGGGAGCGAACAGGAUUAGAUACCCUGGUAGUCCACGCCGUAAACGGUGGGUACUAGGUGUGGGUUUCCUUCCUUGGGAUCCGUGCCGUAGCUAACGCAUUAAGUACCCCGCCUGGGGAGUACGGCCGCAAGGCUAAAACUCAAAGAAAUUGACGGGGGCCCGCACAAGCGGCGGAGCAUGUGGAUUAAUU